rnacentral:rRNA from 1 species
ACGAACGCUGGCGGCGUGCUUAACACAUGCAAGUCGAGCGGUAGGGCCCUUUCGGGGGUACGACGAGCGGCGAACGGGUGAGUAACACGUGGGUGACCUGCCCUUAGCUCUGGGAUAAGCCUGGGAAACUGGGUCUAAUACCGGAUAUGACUCCAUGACGCAUGUUGUGGGGUGGAAAGCCUUGUGCGGCUAGGGAUGGGCCCGCGGCCUAUCAGCUUGUUGGUGGGGUGAUGGCCUACCAAGGCGACGACGGUAGCCGGCCUGAGAGGGCGACCGGCCACACUGGGACUGAGACACGGCCCAGACUCCUACGGGAGGCAGCAGUGGGGAAUCUUGCGCAAUGGGCGAAAGCCUGACGCAGCGACGCCGCGUGGGGAUGACGGCCU